rnacentral:rRNA from 1 species
ACUCCUACGGGAGGCAGCAGUGGGGAAUAUUGCACAAUGGGGAACCCGAUGAUGCAGCCAUGCCGCGUGUGUGAAGAAGGCCUUCGGGUUGUAAAGCACUUUCAGUAGGGAGGAAGGUAGUGUAGUUAACACCUGCACUAUUUGACGUUACCUACAGAAGAAGCACCGGCUAACUCCGUGCCAGCAGCCGCGGUAAUACGGAGGGUGCGAGCGUUAAUCGGAAUUACUGGGCGUAAAGCGCAUGCAGGCGGCCUGUUGAGUCAGAUGUGAAAGCCCGGGGCUCAA